GAUGAAGAACGUAGCGAAAUGCGAUAAGUAAUGUGAAUUGCAGAAUCCAGUGAAUCAUCGAAUCUUUGAACGCACAUUGCGCCCGCCAGCAUUCUGGCGGGCAUGCCUGUUCGAGCGUCAUUUCAACCCUCGACCUCCCUUUGGGGAAGUCGGCGUUGGGGACCGGCAGCACACCGCCGGCCCUGAAAUGGAGUGGCGGCCCGUCCGCGGCGACCUCUGCGUAGUAAACCAACUCGCACCGGAACCCCGACGUGGCCACGCCGUAAAACCCCCAACUUCUGAACGUUGACCUCGAAUCAGGUAGGACUACCCGCUGAACUUAAGCAUAUCAAUAAGCGGAGGA
rnacentral:misc_RNA from 1 species